rnacentral:rRNA from 1 species
UCCGAAGGGGGCUAUCGUUGUUCGGAAUUACUGGGCGUAAAGCGCACGUAGGCGGAUUUGUUAGUCAGGGGUGAAAUCCCGGGGCUCAACCUCGGAACUGCCUUUGAUACUGCAAGUCUUGAGUCCGGAAGAGGUGAGUGGAAUUCCUAGUGUAGAGGUGAAAUUCGUAGAUAUUAGGAAGAACACCAGUGGCGAAGGCGGCUCACUGGCUCGGUACUGACGCUGAGGUGCGAAAGCGUGGGGAGCAAACAGG